CCUACGGGAGGCAGCAGUGGGGAAUAUUGGGCAAUGGGCGCAAGCCUGACCCAGCAACGCCGCGUGAAGGAAGAAGGCUCUCGGGUUGUAAACUUCUUUUAAGAGGGAAGAGCAGAACACGGUAUCUCUUGAAUACGCCGUGGCUAACUACGUGCCAGCAGCCGCGGUAAUACGGAGGUGGCAAGUGUUGCCCGGAGUUACUGGGUGUAAAGGGCGUGUAGCCGGGAAGACAAGUCAGGUGUGAAAUCCCGCGUCUCAACCGCGGAACUGCAUUGGACACUGUUUUUCUUGAGUACCGGAGAGGUCAGCGGAAUUCCUUGUGUAGCGGUGAAAUGCGUAGAUAUAAGGAAGAACACCAGUGGCGAAGGCGGAUGACUGGACGGCAACUGACGGUGAGGCGCGAAAGCGUGGGGAGCAAACAGGAUUAGAUACCCUUGUAGUC
rnacentral:rRNA from 1 species